UGAAUGCACUUUUUGUACGUCGCUUUGGAUAAAAGCGUCUGCUAAAUGACAUGUA
rfam:Gasterosteus aculeatus cont1.005215, whole genome shotgun sequence.